rfam:Simian rotavirus A/SA11 segment 8, complete sequence.
GGAAUUUAAUUCGUUAUCGAUUUGAGAAUGGGUAUGACAAAGUAAGAAUAGAAAGCGCUUAUGUGACC